UACGUAGGGACAAAGCGUUGUUCGGAUUUACUGGGCGUAAAGGGCGCGUAGGCGGCUUGGCAAGUGGAAGGUGAAAUCCCUCGGCUUAACCGAGGAACUGCCCUCCAAACUGCUUCGCUUGAGACCGGGAGAGGUGAGUGGAAUUCCCAGUGUAGCGGUGAAAUGCGUAGAUAUUGGGAGGAACACCAGUGGCGAAGGCGGCUCACUGGACCGGUACUGACGCUGAUGCGCGAAAGCGUGGGGAGCAAACGGG
rnacentral:rRNA from 1 species